UGAAAAUCUGAACAGCCAAGAUCUCUAAGAUGUGUUUGAAUAGAAAUGUCUUGGUAGAUGGCAUAAUUACUGCAGCCAACUCCACAAAACCUGAUUCUGUCUGGGCCGCACUUGGAGGGUUGAGAUGCAGGCGCUCAUCAAGGAAAUCCAUCAAGGGAGAGGCGGAAACAAUGGGGAGAUAAUCCGAGAAAUUUCCAUCACGGCGAAAGAGUUUCACUCUUGGUACUUUCAUUCAUGAAAAUAGGAAUUUUAAUUUUGAGGCUCUUUAUAUAGCCAAGUAUGCUUGUAAUCUAGCAUUAGGUCGUCAUUUGUUGUGAGGUGCUCCCCCUGACCAAGUUCUUGUACCCUUACACAUUGAUCAAUAAAGGUUACGAGAAUUCUAAAAAAAAAGGAGGUGUUGGCUUUUUUUCUCCGUA